CAUCGUUUAAAGUAAUUUUUUUAAAUAAUGCCUGCCCAAUGAAAAUUUAAUGGCCGCAGUAUUCUGACUGUGCAAAGGUAGCAUAAUCAUUUGUCUUCUAAUUAAAGGCUAGUAUGAAUGGCAACACGGGGUGGUGACUUUCCCAUAAAUGAAGGUAAAAUUUAAUUUGUUAGUCAAAAAGCUGACAUAUCAACGCAGGACGAGAAGACCCCGUAGAUCUUAAUAUAUUUAACACACUCGGUGUAGGCCAACACAAGGUGUGGUGUUGUUAUAUUUAGUUGGGGCGACCUGAAGUUAAUAAACACUUUAACCCGCAACUCUUUUAAAUGAUUAAUUGACCCGGCAGCCGAUAUAAGAUAAAGUUACCUUGGGGAUAACAGCGUAAUCUAGUUUUAGAGUUCUUAUCAAAAAUUAGGGUUGCGACCUCGAUGUUGGAUUAAGAUUCAGUCUAAAUGUAGCCGUUUAGCCCUGGGGUCUGUUCGACCUUUAAAAUCUUACAUGAUCU
rnacentral:rRNA from 1 species